rnacentral:rRNA from 1 species
GACCUCAAAUCAGGUGGGACUACCCGCUGAACUUAAGCAUAUCAAUAAGCGGAGGAAAAGAAACUAACUAGGAUUCCCUUAGUAACGGCGAGUGAAGAGGGACUAGCCCAAAUUUGUAAUCUGGCUCUUUCAGAGUCCGAGUUGUAAUCUCGAGAACAGUUUUCCGUGUUGGACCUUGUAUAAGUCUGUUGGAAUAUAGCUUCGUAGAGGGUGAGAAUCCCGUACAUAACAAGGACUACCAAUGCUUUGUGAUACUGUCUCUAAGAGUCGAGUUGUUUGGGAAUGCAGCUCAAAUUGGGUGGUAAAUUCCAUCUAAGGCUAAAUAUUGGCGAGAGACCGAUAGCGAACAAGUACCGUGAGGGAAAGAUGAAAAGCACUUUGGAAAGAGAGUUAACAGUACGUGAAAUUGUUAAAAGGGAAACGAUUGAAGUCAG